GUCUGGCUGGCUCAGUUGGUAGAACAUGUGACUCUUAAUCUCAGGGUUGUGAGUUCAAGCCCCACAUUGGACA
rnacentral:tRNA from 1 species